rnacentral:rRNA from 1 species
AGUGAACGCUGGCGGUAGGCCUAACACAUGCAAGUCGAACGGCAGCACAGUAAGAGCUUGCUCUUACGGGUGGCGAGUGGCGGACGGGUGAGGAAUACAUCGGAAUCUACUUUUUCGUGGGGGAUAACGAAGGGAAACUUACGCUAAUACCGCAUACGACCUACGGGUGAAAGCAGGGGAUCUUCGGACCUUGCGCGAUUGAAUGAGCCGAUGUCGGAUUAGCUAGUUGGCGGGGUAAAGGCCCACCAAGGCGACGAUCCGUAGCUGGUCUGAGAGGAUGGUCAGCCACACUGGAACUGAGACACGGUCCAGACUCCUACGGGAGGCAGCAGUGGGGAAUAUUGGACAAUGGGCGCAAGCCUGAUCCAGCCAUACCGCGUGGGUGAAGAAGGCCUUCGGGUUGUAAAGCCCUUUUGUUGGGAAAGAAAAGCAGCAGGUUAAUACCCCGCUGUUCUGACGGUACCCAAAGAAUAAGCACCGGCUAACUUCGUG